UGCCAGUAGUCAUAUGCUUGUCUCAAAGAUUAAGCCAUGCAUGUCUAAGUUCACACUGUCCCAUGGUGAAACCGCGAAUGGCUCAUUAAAUCAGUCGAGGUUCCUUAGAUGACACGAUCCUACUUGGAUAACUGUGGCAAUUCUAGAGCUAAUACAUGCAAUCGAAGCUCCGACCGUUAAGGGAAGAGCGCUUUUAUUAGUUCAAAACCAAUCGGCGUGGCCUUCGCGGGCUGCGUCGUCCCCAUUGGUGACUCUGGAUAACUUUGUGCUGAUCGCAUGGCCUUGCGCCGGCGACACAUCUUUCAAAUGUCUGCCCUAUCAAAUGUCGAUGGUACGUGAUAUGCCUACCAUGUUUGUAACGGGUAACGGGGAAUCAGGGUUCGAUUCCGGAGAGGGAGCAUGAGAA
rnacentral:rRNA from 1 species